ensembl:lncRNA
GGGGACCAACAAAUGACAGGGAAAAAAAAAACAACAACAACAACAAAGGCCAGAUUUUUAAGUUAAUUUGAACUGAUUUUGUUUUGAUAUUUGAUUUUAUUACAGUGCUCGCUAGCCUAGAAACCCGGGUUUUGUUUAGUCUAAAGAGCUCCCAUGGUUGCAGAGCCAUGGGGGCCAAGGCCAAGAGCUGUGCCACGGACAGGACGAGGUAUUUGUGUUUGAGCCAUACCCUUAUGAAUCCUUUUCUUGCAUUUUACUGUGUUUGUUAACAAUCACUAAGCAUGCAGAAGUACUUCAUAUCUUGGAAAAAGGAAGCUUCAGUUGGAAAUCCAGAGCCCUGAGCCUUCUCAUCGUGGUAUCACAGAUGCAGUACCCAUCCCUGAGAUUCCUGGAGGUACUAAAAUCUCCGAUGAGAUCACAAGUCCAGCAGCACAGCUGUGUAGAUUUAGUGUGAGCGCUGCGAGGGAGCCCAGGAGGGCAUAUCUAUAUCUGAGUGUGUGUCUGCUCAUCACGGUGUGAGGAAACCAGUAGGCGCAAUGCUACACCCCAGGAGCACCAACCCCAGUGACAGCCUGACAGCAUCAUCGCCACAGACAUACAGCCUACAGUUCAAAGCUGCAUUGUUUUUUUUCCCAGCGAGCUCAGUGGCUUCAAUGCUUGAGCAACGCAUCUCUUCGAACCUUGCCUGGCUCCCGUCCUCAGAUCAUCCCCGCUUGCAGAAAGCUAAAUCACAACCAGUUACUCAUCGUGACCGAGGGAGCAGCUCACAUUUGCUGAGGCACUGCAGCAAAUGGACGGAGCGCAGACUAACCCAAACAUUUCCAUUAUUAGAGCACACCAGCCAGGGUUCCACGGGACGGGAGUAAAACCACGCCGGAGCGCCUCAAACAGAUUGCAUGUGAUCUCCUAUCAUCUUAUAGAUGUAUUUUCUCCAUUCUCUGGUUUCAUCGCGGUCUCGCUGCCCCAGCGGAGGGAUUUUGCUGAAUGACUGGCCUUCUGUUUUCCUCGGUUCCAGAAACCAAUGGGGAAAUCUGAAGCAAGGAAGACUUAUCCUUGAUGGAGGAGGACCUGGAUAGGGAAUAUUUAAGCAAACCAGAUCUACAUAAAGCUAUGGGCCUGGACGGCAGGCACACACAUAUGCUGAAGGAGUUGAUGUUGUUGUUGUUGCUGCAAGUCCACUCUUGGUAAUCUUGGAAAAAUCAUGGGGGUAAUAUCCUGAGGACUGUAAAAGAAGAGGUAUUACUGCAAAAAGAACAAUACAGGGAAUUGUCAGCUCAAUCCCUGGGAACGUGAUCAAGAAAGUUUGGGGAAAUUAUUUCUAAGCACAUUAAGAACAGAAUGGUGAUUGAGAGAAGUCAGAAUGGACUUAAAAAGGGGAAAGCAUGUUCAGCCAAACUGGUGGCCCUCUACAAAGUAACUAUCUCCGUGGAUGAAGAGAAAAU